GGAGGUGUGGCUCAAGUGGUAGAGCACCUGCUUAGCCUGCUGUAGGAGGCCCUAGGUUCAAUCCUAGUACCACCA
rnacentral:tRNA from 1 species